UACUUCAAAUUUUUAUCACGAACAGUCCGUGCUGGAUUCCCACCGUAAGCCUUCGCUCAAGCUUCCAUUAUGGACAAAUUCCUUUCGAAUUUCUGUUGUAGAUAGGCCUUGGCCGAUACUCCUCAGCAAAUGAUCCCCAUCCGGGCUACUACAGAGAUCGGACUCCAACCGAGACCUGGACUCCCUGGCAGGCCGUAGUAACGGCCACGACUCUG
rnacentral:lncRNA from 1 species